GAUCAUUACCGAGUGUAGGGUUCCUAGCGAGCCCAACCUCCCACCCGUGUUUACUGUACCUUAGUUGCUUCGGCGGGCCCGCCAUUCGUGGCCGCCGGGGGCUCUCAGCCCCGGGCCCGCGCCCGCCGGAGACACCACGAACUCUGUCUGAUCUAGUGAAGUCUGAGUUGAUUGUAUCGCAAUCAGUUAAAACUUUCAACAAUGGAUCUCUUGGUUCCGGCAUCGAUGAAGAACGCAGCGAAAUGCGAUAACUAGUGUGAAUUGCAGAAUUCCGUGAAUCAUCGAGUCUUUGAACGCACAUUGCGCCCCCUGGUAUUCCGGGGGGCAUGCCUGUCCGAGCGUCAUUGCUGCCCAUCAAGCACGGCUUGUGUGUUGGGUCGUCGUCCCCUCUCCGGGGGGGACGGGCCCCAAAGGCAGCGGCGGCACCGCGUCCGAUCCUCGAGCGUAUGGGGCUUUGUCACCCGCUCUGUAGGCCCGGCCGGCGCUUGCCGAACGCAAAUCAAUCUUUUUCCAGGUUGACCUCGGAUCAGUAGGGAUACCCGCUGAACUUAAGCAUAU
rnacentral:rRNA from 1 species